GCCUGGGUGGCUCAGUCGGUUAAGCGUCUGACUUCGGCUCAGGUCAUAAUCUCACAGUCCGUGGGUUCGAACCCCGCGUUGGGCU
rnacentral:tRNA from 1 species